GAAAUGGAGCAGAAACACCUGGGGAUGGGGUUUGCCCCUCAUUUCCUGCUGGGAGCCAGCAAAGCCCAGCACUGCCCAACUUUUAGGGCUGCUCCAGCGUUUUCAGCUGCCCCUUGGCACUGGACUCCUCACCCCAAGGCAUGACCCGGAUCGGGGAAGCUGAUCGCAGGGAGGCAGGGGAUGUCUGAGUGACUCGCGUAGCCUGGAAUUGCUCCCUGGCUAAUUAAGAGGGACGGAAAGAAGAGUGGCAAGAAGCAAGGCUUGAGGAAACCUAAUGCUUCCGUGAUCCCGUGGGAACAUCCCAGCGCUUGGAAGGACUGUGCUGCCACACAACGGGACCAUAAAUCAGGCAGGAGCUGGGACCGGCUCUGGGCUGUUGGUAGUACUCCUGGGCUUGCAAACACAGAUUAAAACUGGUAGCGUGUAGUGAUAAUCUCCAGCCAUAACUGCCAAUGUCUUGAGUCAAUUACUGACCUGGUCACUCAUGGCCAGCUCCAGCCCAAAGAGAUUGGACUUAAAACCUUUAAAAACCCAAGGAAGGUCACCAAUUGUGAAUGGUGAGAUGCAUAAGGAAAUGCGUUUUGAAAUUAAGAUAAUUCUGAUAGCAACAACCAGACAAAUCAGAAACCUGUCAACAGGAAGCCCUGCUUGGCUUCAACUGUUACCCGAGCGAGACUGAUGUAUUUUAAGCAGUAAGAACCAGCAUAUGUCAUCAUAUCUUAUAGAAAAGUGUACACAUGAUAGUGUUUUGGUACAAGGAGAAACCAGAGACCCCCUGUCCUCUGAAUCUCUCUCAUGAACCUAGGCUCAGACCUCUAACCGAGCAGCAUUCCCGGGCCCUGUGGAAAGUGUUUGCACCCCAAACCCGUGCUCGGCGGUGGGAGCUGUGCAGGGUGCGUGUCCCCGGGGACACGCUGUGCUCCCAGCCCCGCAGCUGCUCGCCAGAAAUGCCAGCCUGCCCCCGCAGACAAAGGCUGCCUUUUGCUGAGCGUUGUGCAAAGCAGAGCUGUGGCGGCUUGCGCAGCUUUUAGCUCUCUGACCUUUGUUUAAAUGAAACGCGGAGUAAUUUGUAUCUGAGAGGAGUUGUUCUGUCUCAUUAACGUGAUUAAAUAGAUGGCAGGGCGUCACUAAGUUCAUUGCCAGAGAGACUGUCGCUUAGUAAUUUCAACCGCAGCGAUCCCAUUAUUCAGCCUUUUUC